GAUUAUACUGUGGAGUCGGGAGGAAUAAAUCUCAUCAACUGAGUUCACGGUUUUAUCCAAGACGGAAAAUGGUCAGAGCCUUGUCCGGUAAUGGAACUAGAGCCGGUGGUUGCGAAACUGUGGAAAAAGACGAGGUUUUCUUUCCGCGGCCGAGGAGCCAUUUUACGCGCCUUCACGGGCAGAAAGAUUCCGCCAUGUGCCACGUAGCCCCGGGGAGCCCCACCGGCUCCACGGGGAAAACAUCUACAAUCACACCGACAGGAAACCGUUUCAUAUUAAGUUGUUGGUUUUCCGGGGGAAGUCACGGAGAAAUUUCCUAUUUUACACACGGAGAAAAAACUACUUCCACAUCCGGUUAACUAGCGUUCUUCAGCGCAAACCGAACGGCUCCGCGGCGCCUCGUCCACCCACCGGCCUCCUCCGCGGCCCCGCACCGGCUCAUUCGGUCAGGAGGGGCAGAAAAAAGGAAUCAUUGCAUUUUUAAAAGAAAGGAAACGAGGAUGACUCUGCACUGACAGAGACAUCGAAGGUACAACUGAAAGCAGGAACAAAAUGAUCUGACCUCUAUUUCAACGAGAUGUGAUGAGUCCACCUGCUGCCGGGAACAUGUGUUGGAAUAACGUUUGGCUUUUGCCUCAUAAGUUUAGUUUAACCAGGGAGGUCAAAGAGAUCUGCCUCCAAAUGAUCCACAGAUGUGACCGUACUAAUGCGGAGGCUGAACGGAGACGUUCAUGGAAACCGUACAUUUUAAUUCACUUCUGAUUUUUUUAAAAACAAGUUUCCUUCCUGUCUGAAUCUGAGAAGUUAAACAUGUCAGCUCCUACUAACAAGGUUUCAAGAAUAAUAAAUAGAUUUAAAGGAGCUGCCGAGGUAAACGAAUACAUCUUGUAGUGACACUGAUACUGUAACGGAGCCUUCUGAGUUGAUUUAUCUGAAUAAACAUAAAGAGAAAUAAAACUAACGCCCUGUGUUGUUUUUCUUCUGCCUGUUCUAUAAGGAAGUCAAAUAUUUGGAGUUAACAUAUUUCUCUUGUUGCUGUUUUAUUACUGAUUUUAUGAUUUAUCCCCAGUUCUUUCUGUUUAAAUAAAAACUCAUUUUAUUGCUCUUUA